AAACUCACCAGGUCAGGACACGGUAAGGAUUGACGGACUGAAGGCUCUUUCUCGAUUCCGUGGAAAGUGGUGCAUGGCCGUUUUUGGUUGGUGGAUCGAUCCGUCUGGUUAAUUCCGUUAACGAACGAGACCUCGGCACUCCGAAUAGCGCGGCGGACGUCGCGGCCUCCGGGCCGUCUUCCGCACGAGCUUCUUAGAGGGACCGUCCCCCGCCGGGGAAGGAGGUGCGAGGCAACGACAGGUCUGUGAUGCCCUUAGAUGUUCUGGGCCGCACGCGCAUUACACUGACGCGUCCAACGGUGACUCCCGACCCGAAGGGGCCGGGGAAUCCGCAAGGCGCGUCGUGAUGGGGAUUGAACGUUGCAAUUGUUGUUCACGAACGAGGAAUUCCUAGUAGGCGCGGGUCAUCAACCCGCGCCGAUUACGUCCCUGCCCCUUUGUA
rnacentral:rRNA from 1 species